UGACUCUAGUCACCUACCAUUUCCACCUGAAGGGCAGGAAAAAAAAAAGAGAGGGCUAAAAAUUAAUUUCUUCAUUAACUGUUCCUGCAACACACUGUUUGCUGCAAAUAGUCUCUAAAGAUGUCCUGAGGCUUUAAAAGUUCAAAGUCUAAAGUAUAAUUUCUUUUGAGAUACACAUUGUGUGCAAGUUUCGACAUUGAAAAUGCACUGGGCUACAAUGCUUUUGUUAAAAUACUUUAAAUUCAAGAAAGGGGAAAAAAAGGCAAUGUUCUCAAAUUUCCAGACGCUGAAGCUUCUCAAAUUUUAUAGUUCAAAUUCUUCCUAUAGAAGAAAGCAUCGACAGCAACGACAGCAAGGACGUUUCAAAGUGGAAUUUCCUUAGAAUGUGGAUGCAUAAUGAUAAACAUAAGGGACUUGCAGCACUGGGUCACCUCAUGAACAAAUCGCUCUCUGUAAGGUCAAGACUGCCCCUUGAGGAUGGAGGAGAGAAACUGCAGGGGCCCUGAGUGCCAGAAGCACAUCAGAGAAAAAAGCCACCUCUGAGCCAGACUGCUCAACAAAGGGAGAGAGGAACUGAAACGAAAAUUUUUAAAGAAUUAGAGUGAGCCCAAUGAGAAUACCUAAUGGACAGUCUGAUCCGGUCAAUCUUUUUCAUCUUUUGAGACAUGCUGCUCUAAUUCUAAACCCCACUCCAAGACUCUGUUUUGAGAAGCCUGAUUUGAGCCAAUUUAGAAUGUCUAAAAACAAUCAGAAUAAAAGCCACACUGUCAGGUGCUCUUCAAUGGUUUCUGCCCUCCCCGGCAAUCCAAGGCAGGCAGCCUGUGCGUGGAACAGGAGGCAGUCCCCAAAGCCCUGUAACAUGACCCAUGCCAGCUAGCCACUGAGAGAUUACAAAGAAUGAGGUCAGUUCCUUCUCAUUCCUUCUAGCAUUUCUAAGGAAAGCAAACAGGAAUCACAAGACAAAAGGCAGUGUCAUGAGGCACUUUAAGCACUCAAUGUGGGAGGUAGCUUGAUUUCAUAUUUUCCUCCAUUAAUUAAUUGCAAAGUUAAAGUAUGGAUAUCAUGAACACAUUAGCUCAUAUCAUCCAUCAAAUAGUCAUUUGAUACAAUUGUGGUUGCUGGGAAGGAGAGUUCUGAUAAAAAGGAGUAUAUAUAUUUUUUAUUCUCAUAAAGAAUUUUAAAAGUCCAUGUAAAAGAAAAAAAACUGACAAAAAUGAAGAAAAAUCCAGUUUGUAUUUGAGUUUCACUGAAUAUUUUUUCACCUAAUGAAACAAACAGAAUUACUUUUUAUAUACAAACUAAAUCAUGAUUUAAAAAAAUCCAAAAUAAUCAGAGAAUGUAAGUAUAGCUUAAAUUCUUAAGGUGACUGGACUGACAAUUAAAAAAUAAUUCAUUGAGAUUUGUAAAUUUUUUAACAUCUGUUUCAUGAUUCAACUGUCAAACUAAAUUAGCCUAAACUCAAGACUGUGCUACCUACCAAAAUUUACCAGUUAUUUUCGGUUUUGGAAUCUUGAAAUAAUUGCACAUGAAUGGAACCUUCCAAGUCAACCCAGUACAACCACUUGCCUGAGGCGAGAGAUAUCCCUGGCAAAUACUUUUACUUUUUAAAAUGCUCUAACUAAGGGUUGCAAUGUAGCUAAGUAGAAGAGGGCUUGCCUAGCAUGUACAAGGUGAUAAGAUUAGUCUGUAGAUCACUUUUCUUUAUAGGAUGUUCUACAGACCAGUUUAUUCUCUAACUUAUAGUACACAUAAGAAUAAAAGAAAAUGAAGUGGCACUUUAUUCUGUGCUAACUAUGCUAGUUAUUGUGGUAUUUAUUUAGAUAACUUAUUCUUUACAUCAUUCCAGUGAAUGACUAAGAACCUCAUUCUAUAGAAAAAAAUACACAAUAAGCUAAAAUAUAGGAUACCAGUCGGGCGCUGUAGUGCACACCUGCAAUCCCAACAGCUCAGGAGGCUGAGACAGGAGGAUCACAAGUUCAAGGCCAGCCUCAGCAAUUUAUCGAACACCCUGUCUUAAUAUAAAAAAAUACAAAAAGAGCUGGGACUAUGGCUUAGUGGUUAAGCACCCUAGAUUCAAUCCAUGGUACCCACCCCCUCAAAAAUUAAGAAAUAUAAAAUAUAGGAUAUCACUAUUUAUA